GACGAACGCUGGCGGCGUGCUUAACACAUGCGAGUCGAACGGAAAGGCCCCCAUCUUGGUGGGGGUGCUCGAGUGGCGAACGGGUGAGUAACACGUGGGUGAUCUGCCCUGUACUUCGGGAUAAGCUUGGGAAACUGGGUCUAAUACCGGAUAGGACCAUGGUUUAGUGUCUCAUGGUGGAAAGAUUAUUGUUUUGGUGCAGGAUGAGCUCGCGGCCUAUCAGCUUGUUGGUGGGGUAAUGGCCUACCAAGGCGUCGACGGGUAGCCGGCCUGAGAGGGUGGACGGCCACAUUGGGACUGAGAUACGGCCCAGACUCCUACGGGAGGCAGCAGUGGGGAAUAUUGCACAAUGGGCGCAAGCCUGAUGCAGCGACGCCGCGUGGGGGAUGACGGCCUUCGGGUUGUAAACUCCUUUCGUUAGGGACGAAGCCGCACUUUUUUUGGGUGUGGUGACGGUACCUUUGUUAAGAAGCACCGGCUAACUACGUG
rnacentral:rRNA from 1 species